rnacentral:lncRNA from 1 species
UAUAAUUUUAAUUAACCCUUUUAAUUAUCAGUACAAUAUGUUUGCUCGUUUAACGGUACAAAAGAUUCGAAAUUAGUUAAAAUUUUUAUUCAAAAUUUUUUUCAGACUAUUUAAAAUAAAAUCUAAACUCUAAAUCUUAUAAAUACAAAAAUCGUGCCAUCAUUUUUUUAAGGAUAUUUAUUUUCAACAUUUAUUUUUUGUGCAUUUGAUGGACACAAGAAUAAUAUUGGAAAAUUAUCAAAUUUAAUUUUUAAAUAAUUUAUAUAUAUGUUCUAAUUAAUAUUCAACAGUGCCAAUUUUUGAUUUAGAAGCUUUAUUAUAAAAAGUAAAUUAAUAGGAAACUGAGCCAGUUUACUACCAAUAAUAUUUUAGUA